CUACGGGAGGCUGCAGUCGAGAAUCUUUCGCAAUGGGGGAAACCCUGACGAAGCGACGCCGCGUGAGCGAUGAAGGCCUUCGGGUUGUAAAGCUCUGUCACAGGGGACGAAACGCCUAGUGGUAAAUAAUCAUUAGGUUUGACGGUACCCUGAGAGGAAGCCCCGGCUAACUCCGUGCCAGCAGCCGCGGUAAUACGGAGGGGGCAAGCGUUGUUCGGAUUUACUGGGUGUAAAGGGUACGUAGGCGGUAUAGUAAGUUAGAUGUGAAAUCUUCGGGCUCAACCCGAAAACUGCAUUUAAUACUGCUAAACUAGAGUAUGUAAGAGGAAGAUGGAAUUCUUGGUGUAAGAGUGAAAUCUGCAGAUAUCAAGAGGAACACCUGUUGCGAAGGCGAUCUUCUGGGACAAUACUGACGCUGAGGUACGAAAGCUAGGGGAGCGAACGGGAUUAGAUACCCCUGUAGUC
rnacentral:rRNA from 1 species